AAAAAAAAAAAAAACAAACAAAAACCUACCACCCAAAAAACCUAAACACACAACAAAACCUCCACAAAUCCUAUACCAAAUCAACAAAAAAGGAACCAUGCUACUUUUAAUAAAAAUAUGUAAGGGUAUUCUCUGGUGAUCUAUCCAAGAAAGGGAGAUUCCAGCUAAGAAACAAAUGAUGCUCUCUGACCAAAUGACUUAUGAGCAUCUUAAUAAAUAAAAUCACUAGUAAUAUUCAUGACAUGCCAUCAAACAGCAGAUUAAAGCUUCCCUAGACACAAACAAAAUCCUGCAACAUGCCUGCUUUGCUAUGGAAACAACUCGAUGUUAUACUCCAAGUUUCAGUUAUUAAUAGCAUACUGAUAUACACAUUUGCAUAAGAUUAUGUCUUCCUUCUAAUUAUUUCCUAAGCUAGGCUUCAACUAUGAAAUCAAGAGGGUUUUGUUUGUUUAAAAUCUUGUGAGACUGAUGAUGCCAAAUUUUGUUUGGCCUGUGAAGCACUGGCAAUUUUACUUUUAAAAAACUUCAUGCUCACAGACUGCAAACAAACGGUAGAAUUAAUGACAGAAGUCCAAACAUACCCUGAAACAGUUAUAGUUUUUCUUCAACAUCUGACUAAUUUUAUGAACACACUCAACUAUUGAAACAGUUUUACCUGUCAGACUGCUGGUUUCAGCCUGAGUAAGCUCAGGUACAGCAAAACGUUGGAUUAUUUUUUUUUUAAAAAUUUAGGUCUGAGAAAAAAAGGCUGAUCCCGCCUCUGUUGUAACCGUGCUCGGGUUACAACAUGCAUGACUUGCAUGGGUCGUGCUCCCAUCUGCUAGUUUUGCAUUACUGACCCCUUGAACAACAUGGGCAAUGCGUGGCACAUCAAACCGGAGGUGAGCCUAGAGCAGGUUUACAGGGCACAACUGCAGUGAAACCUGUCAGAUAACCUGAGGACAAGUCUCCGGCACAUCGGCUACUCCUGGAAUUUCAAUGGAAUCAUUAAACGCUUCCUUUCAACUCAGAAAUCAGGCUAGCAGGAGCAUCAGCAAGCAGCUCCACAUACAGGGGACAAGCACAGACCGGCUUCCCGUGGCAGUGCGUGACUCCUCAUGCUCCUAAGAUGCAAAGGCUGAGGCUCCUCUGGCACCUGGGACAUCACACCUUCUCCUGCCCCUGUGAAUUCUCAGGCAGCUGCCAUCUGCACUGCUGCGUUUUCUUCCCUGCACUUUUGUGUUUUAGGAAACUUUGGGUUUUCAGUGUCUCUUUCUUCUACCGUUUUUAUUUCUGGCUCUCUCAAUAUUCCUGGAGCAGAUAAUGACUUUGCUUCUUUGGAAGUUGAGCAGUGCACCUCAGGACCUUACAGCAAGGCAGCACAGAGCUGGCAUCCUCACAACCAUUGCCUUCCACCAGCUUCUCUAUCAGUAUAAAUUUCACAAGUUUUUUGUAAGCCACUCUGGAACAUAACAACUGAAAACUCUCUGGCUGGCUUUCCCCACCACUUACCUAAUUGGUACCUCUAAUGUGAAAAAAGAUACUUUCACAUUAUCCAAGAGCAUAAGCACAGAUUUUCAGAGAAGUACAGAAUCAAGUGUAAUUUAAUUAAUCCUUUUAAAUUUUUAUCCUUUGCGUGUUCAUCAUUAACCAAAAAAAAAAGAAGUCUAUUUCAAACAUUAGACUUGUACUAAUACUACAACUAAUCGUAAUGCAGUAGGAUUUAGCAGUGAACACCUACCAACAUACUGAAAAUGGGUGUGGUACUACUGAAACUCCAAGCUGACAAGUGACUUCUGUGCAAAUAAAAUAAAUUUAUCACUUGGUGAGACAGCAAGAGAGUUAUGUCAAACACUGAGCACAAUCAGUUGCUUACAAAAAAUGCAGGACUAUCAUACUGCCCCCAAACAUUUGCCUUAAGGACACACGUCACCAAAAAUGUAACUUUAAAAAGAGUCGAUUGAUUAUUUUUUUUUCCCCUCGAAUGAAAAGUAACUUAAAGUAGCAGAACAAUGCUAGAAUAAAAGUGACCUAAAUUUAAAUAAGUCUUUAUGUUGUGCUUAGGAAUGUACUGGGUAUUUGAUGAGGAUAGACGUGACAGCGUAUCGCCACCUUGAGGCUCGCUAGCAGAACUGCAUGUCCACAACAAAACAUAUAUUUGUUACCAAGCCCAACAGUAAUUUAGCCACAUGUGCUAAAGGCAUUGCAUAAAACACACAGCAUUAACCCCAUAUGUUUUAUCUUUAUUUUUAUGCCAGAGCCUCUGUAGUUCCUUUUCUGGAUUGGAUAUACUUUUAAAGUGGGAAAAUCCUUAAUAGUAGAACAACAACAACAACAAAAGUAUUUAGCAUCUUAGAUCUUGUCAGAAAGAGAAAGGAGAAUAUUAAUCUCAUUCUUCCAGAAGAAUUUGCAGUUGAAGCUUCCUUAUUAAUACAGAUUUCCUAGAGCCUUUGAAAUUACUACUCCAGUUCAGCAUCAAGGACUUACUCAGUUUAAGAAAGAAGCUACUUUAAAAAGAUUACCCCAAAUUACUGCAUGUAAUAUUAAAAAAAACAGGUGCACACUUACACACAUCACACAUUUUAAUACAGGUAUGGUUAUAACAUAACAAUGUUCGUAAUCAAAAUAGCAGGCCUUCCAGACACAAGGCAUUUUGGUGUGGGUUUCGAGGGAUAAGAAUUACCAAACUGCAAUAAACGGUAGCAGCUAUGUAAAUUGUCCUUGAAAUAACCCACCUUUAAACAAAUCUCCAUAUCACAAUAGAUCACAUAUCUAUGCAAUACUCUGGCACCCAGCUCCAAUAAAAUCUACAAAUGUCAAAAAUAUAACCACUCCAAUGUUCUAACCCCUUUUUCCUUUUUUUUUUUUUUUUUAAUUAACAUCUGCUUCAGAAAAGAUCACUUGGAAAACAUAUGUCUGUUAUAUUCCUGCCCCUGAAAUAGUAUGGAAUAUGCUCUGUUGAAUUUAGUCACAUGGGAAGCACCAAGUUGAAACUGUGAGGUGUGUGUGUAUAUAUAUAUAUAUUUGAUGGGUAUAUAUGCUUUUAAUAGACAUAAGAGACAUCUGA